rnacentral:rRNA from 1 species
CACCCCAAUAGCUAGCCCAACCCUUAAAAAACAACAAUUCAACAUUAAUAAACCCCAAUAACCAUUAUUUUAUAAAACAAACCAUUUUUCCACCCUAGUAUGGGAGACAGAAAAGGACUUCUGGAGCAAUAGAAAUAGUACCGCAAGGGAAAGCUGAAAGAGAAAUGAAAUAAUUGAUAAAGGAAUAAAUAGCAGAGAUUAAUUCUCGUACCUUUUGCAUCAUGAAUUAGCCAGUAAACCCAAGCAAAGCGCCCUUUAGUUUGAAACCCCGAAACUAAGUGAGCUACUCCAAGGCAGCCUAUAUUAGGGCAAACCCGUCUCUGUGGCAAAAGAGUGGGAAGACCUUUGAGUAGAGGUGACAGACCUACCGAACUUAGUUAUAGCUGGUUGCCUGAGAACUGAAUAGAAGUUCAGCCUUUUGAUUUCUCUAAUUAAGUCUGGCACCGCCCAAUCCAAAUUAAAAGAAGAUCAAAAGAGUUAGUCGAAGGGGGUACAGCCCCCUCGAAACAAGAUACAACUUUAUAAAGGAGGAAAAAGAUCAAAUCAAACUAGGCAUUAUGUUUUGGUGGGCCUAAAAGCAGCCACCCUAUUAGAAAGCGUUAAAGCUCAAACAUAACAUAUCCUAUUAUUACGACAAUAUUAUCUUAAACCCCUACACCUAUCAGGCCAUCCCAUGCCUACAUGGGAGAGACCCUGCUAACAUGAGUAAUAAGAGGGCUAAGGCCCUCUCCUGGCACCAGUGUAAAUCAGAACAAACCCCUACUGAAAAUUAACGCCCCCAAUUGAAGAGGGUAUUGAAAGAGCACCCAUUAAAGCUAGAAAACUCCUCAAAAAAUAAACGUUAACCCCACACAGGUGUGCCUAAGGAAAGACCUAAAGGAAAAGAAGGAACUCGGCAAACACUAGCCUCGCCUGUUUACCAAAAACAUCGCCUCUUGCAUAUAUUUGUAUAAGAGGUCCCGCCUGCCCUGUGACUAUAAGUUUAACGGCCGCGGUAUUUUGACCGUGCGAAGGUAGCGCAAUCACUUGUCUUUUAAAUGGAGACCUGUAUGAAUGGCAUAACGAGGGCUAAGCUGUCUCCUUUUCCUAGUCAAUGAAAUUGAUCUACCCGUGCAGAAGCGGGUAUACUUACGUAAGACGAGAAGACCCUAUGGAGCUUAAGACACCAGGACAGACCAUGUUAAAUAACCCUAUAAAGGAUUAAACCAAAUGAAUACUGUCCCCCUGUCUUUGGUUGGGGCGACCGCGGGGAAACAGAAAACCCCCACGUGGAAUAGGGACAAUGUCCCUUAAAGCCAGAGCCACAGCUCUAACAAACAGAACCUCUGACCAACAAGAUCCGGCACCGCCGAUCAACGGACCGAGUUACCCUAGGGAUAACAGCGCAAUCCCCUUUUAGAGCCCAUAUCGACAAGGGGGUUUACGACCUCGAUGUUGGAUCAGGACAUCCUAAUGGUGCAGCCGCUAUUAAGGGUUC